GCAGACACACCGGCCCUGCUUUAGACAAAUGUUUUCAGACCAAUGAAAAAGUUCCAGUGCUCUAAAUAUUUAGAAAAAAAUUUACCACAAAAGUUUAUAUAUACAUUUUUUUUAAGUUUCCAAGACUUCAAAUGGAUCUGUUUUGAAUGGUGGGUUUUUAGGGCGAGGCGUUCUGCCCGGCUCAUCUUCACUGAUCCCACCUGGUCUGACUGAAUCACCACACCUGCUGCUCAGCGCUGGGAUGACUGCCUCCGCAGCAGGAGGAUCCGAACGGCUUGUUUUCAGUCGAGGUGUUACAUCACCGCCGGCUGAGGUCCUCUGGGUCCGAGUGGAAACUGGAGACUGAAACAGACGGGUGAACGCACGUGAACAUGCACGCGUCCAGAUGCCGCCGCUCUGCUAACGCUGGAAACAUCUGCAGGAACGAUGAGGGAUGAUGUCUGUGGAAAAUGACAGAACAGAAAACUUUCCUGAGGUCAGAGGUCCUGCAAAUGUAAAACCAACUGGAAUCAAAUAAAAAAAUCCAUGCUAUAAGUUUCACAGAAAAGCACAUUGUAGUUUAUGCAACUAAGGAGUCUGCGUUGAUCUGUCUGAUACCAACCAGAUUGAUCUGUCUGAGGCAAGCUGUUCAUCAAAUCGGCCUUAACCAUCAUAAAAUCCUUUCAGAACGAAAUAAAUUAUUUAUGUCGGCCUCAGGAAAAUACCAUCUG